AGCAGGUUAAAAUCCGAGCUCCUGUCCAGAAAUUGACACCGAGCGGCUCAUGUUCUUUGUACAUCGCACGUCGUCCUCUCACCCCAUCACCCAAACUUUGGACAUUCCAGACCUUCGUCUCCGGCAUAGACGCUUAGAGGUGACACGCCACGCCUUGCGGGUAGUUAGUAUCACCGUCAGCAACACUGGCUGCGGCCUCCGUGGAUCCAAAGCGCUUUGGUGAACACGAGAGAUCCAGCUAGCAUUACAGGAGUGGCGGGCUUUCAGGCUCUUCCACAUGCCCUUCAAAGAUAGGAGGGCUUGGUAUCUUUAUUUUGUUUUUUUGUAUAUAUAUUUUUUUAUUUUUCUACUGCAACUGAUUUUAUUCUUUCUUUUCUGCGCAGGUGGAUUGGAUAAUUGAGACAAUUGGAGAUUGGAGAAUUGGAUAUUUCCCUUGUGUCUUAUUGCAUUUGUUUUUGCAUUUAUUUUCUCCAUGCACAUAUUGUGAUGCACCCCCCAGGUUUAUUUGUAAAACCUCUCAUAUAUGCCUUCGUAUGUUACU